UUAAAAUUAAACAAAUUAUUUUAUUUAUUAUUUAUCUAUAACGUAUAUAACAUAUAUUUAAAAGUACAAAUAAAUGGGUAAACUAGCGUACAGAUUGUCAUUUUUCACUCAAUGAACUCAAAUUUCGAUUCAAUCGUGGCAUCCCGAAAAAGCAAACUGACUAAGCCUAUCCCUGAAAUAUCAAAAAAUAACCAAGUGGCCAAUCACGUUUCCAUAACCAUACCUCGACCGGUUGCGACCACGUUCCGGGUAACUGUGUUACAGUGUAAGCUGCUUUAGCUUAAGUUGCACAGAAAUAUUCUACAACAGAAAGAACAAAAAGUUGCUCUGAGGUUCCGUUCAUGGCUUGAAAAGUUUAUAAUGAAAGCAGCUAAACAUCAAAGAGACAACACAACACCAAGUUACUGUAUAUCCAAUAAAACAAUACCAGUUUUGACAACAAAAUAAAAUAAAAUAAAGUAAGAGCAGAAAAAUUAAAUUGAGCAUACACAAUUUACACUUCAUUCAUCAAAAGAAUUGCUGGACAUUAUUUAUGGCACUGAUCAUUACUGAACACCAAUAAUCUAAUGGGAUCCUUAAGCAUGAAUCCACUGCCAUUGCCCCCCAACAUCUAGCAGCGUCCAUGGCCACCACCAACAACCUCCCACAACACAAAUUCAGUGACCAGAACCAUGCAAAACAAUUUCAGUCAGGAAAUCUAAUGGCAAUUGCCCAACAUGUCAUCAAGCAAUAAUAACCAAAUCUUAGGCCUAUAAAGUAAGUCAUAGCAAAAGAAAUAAGGGAAAAAAAUGAAGAAAAAGGAAAUUGGAGAUAUGCUGGGAUUUUUUUUAUUUUUUCAUUUUAUUAUAAUUAUUUUUUAUUUGCCGCUUGAAGGGUGGUUUCAUGUAAGAGUGUAAAUGAGCCUAUUUUCACCUACUCAAGAAUCAGCUCACAAAAUAUUCAAAUUUGAUUUAAUCGAGUUGAACUUGAAUAAGCUCAAAAAGCAAUUCUUUCUGAUUAUAAAAUACAUACCACAUUAGCAAAUUAAGAGUUUUGGCAUAUAAUCUUUCAAAUUUUGUGACAAUGGACACCUAUGUUAAAAUAGACUUAGUCCACUGGCGCAUAACAAAUCAAAUCUUAGUAGAAUAAGUCCCCUUUUUUCAUUUUUUUUCUUUCUUUUCAAAUUAAAAAAAUUAGUGCAUAGAAAUGCGGUCUUUCCACAUGUAAAAUUAUUCAUCAAUCAAAUCAUUGAUAAAUAAUAAUACAUACAUUUUGGUACAGAUAAUUAAAAAAAAAAAAGUUGAUCAAGUGCCAUACCUUAAAUGAGUAUAUGGUCCAGAAAAUGUACUACUGCAGUUGGAGGUUCAAUCUUUACUUUCAGCGUUACCAUCUGACACGUGAAAACCUUGUCCCGAACCUAGUUCUGAGAGAUUUUUUGGAGUUGAAUUGUUGACAGCAGGAACAUCUCUUGGCCUCGUUCUCGGAAUAAUUACAGGUCUACAACAGAUUAGGGCGAACAACAAUUCUAUUAUAAACAACAUCAUGGUGAUCCAUACAAACAUGGUUUUCUUCCAGGACCAUAUAAUCCAUUUUACUACAGGAAGUUCAGACUCAAGUAUAAGGGAUGCAUCAUAUAUUUCUGGGAUACCACCUGCAAGCCGGAACUCAGCUCGUUGCUCAAUUAUCACUUUUAGGCAGGAAGUAGGCACAUCUCCUUCCUUAAAACCUCUAAACUUUACCUUUAGAAUUUGGGAUUCUAACAUGUAGCCAGUGACCAGAGGUGCUAGCUUAAAGAAAGUUAGUAGGAAGCGGAUAGGUUCGCUUCUGAAUUUUAACAUGCACAGCUGUCUUUUGCUGCUAAGGGUUUUACCAUCUCCAGACAGGAAAUCCACCCGGACCUGAAAAAUCCCAAGAUUUCUGUUAUAUCCAGACUCUGGCAAUGUUAAUAGAACAUUAACUUCCAACUUAUGAUUAGGUGGUAUAACCCGUGGCCCCAAACUCUUUUCUUCACAAUUUACACCACAACCAACACCACGACAUGACAUUAUUGGCACAAAUGCAACAGGGCUAUUCUGUGUGUAAUCAAAAUUCAAUUCUUCCUUCAUCUGCACUGGAUUCUCCACCAAAUUUCUGAUCAAAGAGCCACUAACCAUCAUCGAGAAAACCAAUAAUCCACACAAAAUAAUACAAACAUAAAAAGACCAGAUCAUCCCCCACCCAAAUCGCACCAAAAGCUUCCAUAUCAACAUAUGUUCCUUUAACCAGCCGGUUAUCAGUGGACUUAAAAACCCACUCAUCAAGUUCAAUAACCCGAUCAAUGUUUUCACGAUAAAUCCUCUGCCACGCCUCAUGGCUCCAACGGGGUCAAUAACAAACAUAUAGGAGAAAUGUAAAGUCCAUAUGGGAAACGUAAUAAAUUUAACAAAUAAACUAACUUGAAACACAAUUGCCUUAAUCACCAAUCCGGCUAUAAACUCAAGCAAAUUUCCAGAGGCCGAGUUCCCAAGUUCAUCGACCAUUUCUACGGAGUCACUAAGCCGGUCAUCAUUCACUAUCGAUUUCACCUUCUUGUCAUCAUCGCAUACUUUGCUUGUAACUUCAACAGAGUCCACUCGGUCCGGAAUCCACCGAGUCGACUCAGAAAAGUCCAAAUUCCUCUCACGUUCAUUUAAAUCGCGAAAAAACCUGUGUCUUUUCUCUUUGUAUUUCGUUUUGGAGUCGUAAGUUUGGGUAAUGUCUGAAUUGAUACAGAAGGACUCCGUAUUGAAGUCUUUGGAUCCAUUGCAAAUUCCAUGAUCAGAUGACAACCGGCGCCGGAGAGUGGUGAUCGGAUAAGAAACUUCAAGUGAGGAUUCGCAGAGAGUGGAAUCUGAAGUGGAUUGAUCUGAUUGGUCUGCAACGGCACAGUCAUGAAACGGAAAAUCCUCGAGCUCAUCGAAGAAGCAAUCAUCUUUUUGAUCGGUUUUAUCACUUUGAUUUGAAGGCUCCAUUGAAUGAACUGUGUUCUGAAUUAUGAACUAGAAUUAGGGUUAGGGCUUCAUUUUUGUUCAAGAUGAAUAGAAAAUUAUUUAUGCAAGAACUUCCUAUCACGUUUC
rnacentral:misc_RNA from 1 species